UAGUUUUAUAGUCAAUUAUUAAUAAUAUGAUAUUAAAUUGCAAAUUUAAAGUAGAAUUUUUCUAAGACU
rnacentral:tRNA from 1 species